AUUGAACGCUGGCGGCAUGCCUUACACAUGCAAGUCGAACGGCAGCACGGGGGCAACCCUGGUGGCGAGUGGCGAACGGGUGAGUAAUACAUCGGAACGUGCCCUGAAGUGGGGGAUAACGUAGCGAAAGUUACGCUAAUACCGCAUAUUCUGUGAGCAGGAAAGCAGGGGAUCGCAAGACCUUGCGCUUUAGGAGCGGCCGAUGUCGGAUUAGCUAGUUGGUGAGGUAAAGGCUCACCAAGGCGACGAUCCGUAGCGGGUCUGAGAGGAUGAUCCGCCACACUGGGACUGAGACACGGCCCAGACUCCUACGGGAGGCAGCAGUGGGGAAUUUUGGACAAUGGGCGAAAGCCUGAUCCAGCCAUGCCGCGUGAGUGAAGAAGGCCUUCGGGUUGUAAAGCUCUUUCGGCGGGGAAGAAAUCGCAUUCUCUAAUACAGAGUGUGGACGACGGUACCCGAAUAAGAAGCACCGGCUAACUACGUGCCAGCAGCCGCGGUAAUACGUAGGGUGCGAGCGUUAAUCGGAAUUACUGGGCGUAAAGCGUGCGCAGGCGGUUUUGUAAGUCAGAUGUGAAAUCCCCGGGCUCAACCUGGGAACUGCAUUUGAGACUGCAAAGCUAGAGUGUGGCAGAGGGGGGUGGAAUUCCACGUGUAGCAGUGAAAUGCGUAGAGAUGUGGAGGAACACCGAUGGCGAAGGCAGCCCCCUGGGCCAAUACUGACGCUCAUGCACGAAAGCGUGGGGAGCAAACAGGAUUAGAUACCCUGGUAGUCCACGCCCUAAACGAUGUCAACUAGGUGUUGGAAGGGUUAAACCUUUUAGUGCCGUAGCUAACGCGUGAAGUUGACCGCCUGGGGAGUACGGCCGCAAGGCUAAAACUCAAAGGAAUUGACGGGGACCCGCACAAGCGGUGGAUGAUGUGGAUUAAUUCGAUGCAACGCGAAAAACCUUACCUACCCUUGACAUGUCAGGAAUCCCGGAGAGAUUUGGGAGUGCUCGAAAGAGAGCCUGAACACAGGUGCUGCAUGGCUGUCGUCAGCUCGUGUCGUGAGAUG
rnacentral:rRNA from 1 species